GGUGGUGGCUCAGUGGUAGAGCACUUGCCUAGCAUGCGUGAGGCACUGGGUUCAAUUCUCAGCACCA
rnacentral:tRNA from 1 species